CUCCCCGUCACCAUUCGACUCGGCGUUGAAGCCUGAAGGUUCCUUUCGAGCUUUGAGAGAAAGCCUUCGAGUUCUAGAGCAAGGAAAUCAUGAAGAUGAUGCUAUUGUUUGAGGUCUUGGGAGUGCUGUUGAUGAUGGUAGUAUAUUUCUCUUAUGCAGAAGACAGUGUUUCAAGCCACUAUCAUUUCUAAUGUUUUUUACUUCAUUCCUUAACUGCAAAAUUUGGUUUCUGAUGCUUUUUAAUGCUAAAUUUGAUUGAUUCUGUGGAUAUUUAGACACCCUUUUAUUUAUGAUUCAUGGAAUUGAGAA